rnacentral:rRNA from 1 species
GCAGAGCAUCCUACGGGAGGCAGUCAGUGGGGAAUAUUGCACAAUGGGCGCAAGCCUGAUGCAGCCAUGCCGCGUGUAUGAAGAAGGCCUUCGGGUUGUAAAGUACUUUCAGCAGUGAGGAAGGUGGGUAUGUUAAUAGCAUACUCAUUUGACGUUAGCUGCAGAAGAAGCACCGGCUAACUCCGUGCCAGCAGCCGCGGUAAUACGGAGGGUGCGAGCGUUAAUCGGAAUUACUGGGCGUAAAAGCGCAUGCAGGUGGUUUGUUAAGUCAGAUGUGAAAGCCCGGGGCUCAACCUCGGAAUUGCAUUUGAAACUGGCAAACUAGAGUACUGUAGAGGGGGUAGAAUUUCAGGUGUAGCGGUGAAAUGCGUAGAGAUCUGAAGGAAUACCGGUGGCGAAGGCGGCCCCCUGGACAGAUACUGACACUCAGAUGCGAAAGCGUGGGGAGCAAACAGGAUUAUAUACCCUGGUAG